rnacentral:rRNA from 1 species
UACGUAGGGACCAAGCGUUGUUCGGAUUUACUGGGCGUAAAGGGCGCGUAGGCGGCUUGACAAGUCACUUGUGAAAUCUCCGGGCUUAACUCGGAACGGCCAAGUGAAACUGUCAUGCUAGAGUGCGGAAGGGGCAAUCGGAAUUCUUGGUGUAGCGGUGAAAUGCGUAGAUAUCAAGAGGAACACCUGAGGUGAAGGCGGCUUCCUGGACCGGUUCUGACACUGAGGAGCGAAAGCGUGGGGAGCGAUCCGG